rnacentral:lncRNA from 1 species
AUAAAAUUAUAGUUUUAGAUAUUCUUUGGUAUAGAUGACAGCAGUUGUGAUGGCCUAUCAUGAUUUUGAUGAUUUUUCACGGACGCCGUCAGCUUCUCUGCAAAAUUCAGCUCCUGCUGCCUGAGGUUGAUGACGACAAUGACAACCUAUCAGGAUCUUGACGAUGUGUCAUGAAGGUCGCCAUAAAACUUCCUGCAACUCACCUUUUGUGUUUAAGUUUGACGGCAUCCUUGACAGCCUAUCACCAGGCAGACGAUGUGUCAUGUAUGUCGUCAGCCACACUUAGCUCUUUAUUUUCUUCCAAUUUUAUACUUUUUGCUUCAUUUAUUUGUGGUUCUCCUUCUUCUCUACUUUUACUGCAAAACCAAAGUAAACUAAUCAAAAAUAACUAAAGUUGCUCAAGACUUUGCAAUUAUUUAGAGUUAAAAGCUUCAAAUGUGUUAGCGUGGGCUCACACAUCAACACCCCCAACAUAAACAUUUGCUUUUCCUCCAGUAACCUUAACAUAACUAAGAGUAUACAAAGUACAAUUUGGCGGUUAACUACUCAUAUCAGUUCAGAAUACAUCUACCAUCUCCAAGGUCAGUCAAAGUAAGAGCAACUGUGUCUAUUAUUGAAAACACCCAUGAAACUCACAAGGAUCAAGAUAUGGCAAAAAUUUCAGCAAUAACAACCAAGAACAUACCCAAAUCACACUAUCCGAAUAAGACAGUGAUCAGCAACAUACCUAGUGUACCCUCACAACAAAGAAAUCUUUUUUUCACUCAUAUUAGAAUUUAUACACACAGGGAUAAACACGAGACUCACUCUCAGAACGAAGUUCCACUAUUGCGCAUCAAAUGCCAUAGGCUUGCCCUUAUAGUCUGUACCUAAGUCUUCAAAUAGGUUAGUUAGGAUCACUAUAGGGUUUUUCUUAAGCUUGUAAUGUAGGCUAGUGGCUGGUAUGAUAUUCAUGGAUAUUUUAAAGUGACUAAGCCUCCUUGACACUACAUUAGAUCCUAGGGGUUUCAACUCUUAACCUUCUUUUCUUACCUCUUUUAUUGAUCAUGCAUGCUCAAUAUGGAUGCGGUCUUUUCAAUUAACUUAUUAUCUUUUUAUCAUUUUUCACACAAUUUUCUCUUUUCUUAUUUCUUUUUCACUGCACCCAACUCUUUAUUCAUCCUUCUCAUUCUACCUCUCUUCAUACACAGAUUGCAUCACGCACCCCUAUAAUAGCCACCCUCAACUUAGAUUAUUUGCCUAAGUCAAGGUGCACAGUGUCCAAGAAGGACCAAGGCCAAGACAGUUUCAUUGUGAUGUAAAUGGGAAGGUGAAAGGUGCACAAGAAAUAAAUAGGCUAUUUAGGCUCAAAGAAGGAGAAAAGGAUAUUAUUCACAUUGGGAAGGUCAUUUAGGCUAACGUGGGCUAGCAUGCAAAAACAGCCUAUUAUCCUUUCCUAAUGCCUAUCUAAUGACCAUGGCACGACUAACUGGGCAAGUUCUAGAUUCAAAUCAUAACAGGAACUGAGCAAGACCUUACACACAUAUAGAACACAAGUAUCUUACAUAUCACUACUCAUCUAGUUCAAGCAUUUGCUUAACACUGGGCAUUCAUUUACCAUACUAAUGCCACAAAAAGAUACAUAGUGGUCACAAUGGAUGAAAUUCACACAGUACACAAUUGAUCAGACCAGUGGAGAAGUACUCAUAAAUCACAAAAUAAGACAACUACCUCAAGUACUUGUACUACUCCUAAUUAUCUACAGAUUAUGUUACAACAACAAUUUACCCUAAACCCGUAACUAUAAUUAAAAAUAAAAAGCACUAACGGUUAGGGUAUACCUAAAGACAAUCAAGCAUGUGGAUCUUAGGUCUUCGACCCUGCUACUGUAUGAUCUGUUGUCUUCUCCCCAUUAGGAGCAUUUGGCCUGGCGGCGGUCGGAGCCUGACUAGAUGAAGCACCUGCAGCCCUAGCUCGAAUGGUUGUUUCCCAUUUCUCAUUACUAGCCAUAGACUCCAAUCUUGCCUUUCUCAACUCUUCUUUUUUAGCCUUCUAAUUUUCCUUCUUCUGUGCUUUUCUUUCUUUUUCACAAUCUGGCUCUUCUCUCUUAUUUUUGCCUUUUUUCCCCCUUUUUCUUCUUCUUCUUUGGGGAGUCUGCAGUGAGAUAAAGUAUAGGAAUUUCUUCCUCUAAUUCUUUCACAGUCGGACCUAUUGGCAUCUUAUUUGUUCUUGCUGCAGUACCCUAACCUUAGCCUUAACCUUAUCUAAUGCAGCCCUGAAUGUAGAAAAAUCAGCACCUAUCAUCUCUUUUUCCUGGGCAUCAAAUUUGUUCUCCAAAUCUGCAACUCACACAGGCAAUCUCACAAAAGGCUCUAGUGCAGCCUUGAUUCUUUUGUCCACAACAGCAGCAAACUGUUUGGCGAAGGCAGGUAGUUGGGCCUCACACCACUUGGCUUGCUUAGCCACCUUCCUGAUAUCAAUAGGAUAAAAUGCCAAACCUAUUACUGCUGGAGAAACUAAGAGAUUGGUAUCAGUCUCAGGCACUGAAGCUGCCUAUGCUGAAGAAUCCUGUGCAUCGACCUGAGGUGAUGCUCCUGCAUCUAUAACUAGUGGUUCUACUUCUACCUCUGCCCCCUCUUAUGUCUAAGUCCUAGCUGAAUCUCAUUAAACCAAAUGGGGUUGCGAGUCUUCUGGACACAAACGUCUUCGCCAACUCCAAAAAUCUUUUGCACCUCAGCAGCUCUGCACAACUUAUUAAUAAGACACGAAAAAGGAUAAACACUUUCGACCCUUGACAUCCUGAUCUUUACCUCAUCCAUAAUGAUUUCCCUAAAGUUCAAGGGAUGCUACGAAAAUAGCCCUGUCAUCGCCCAGAAUAUUGUCUCCCUCAGUAGGCAUUAGCCAAACUCGCACUAUGCCCCACCAAAAUUUUGCCUCCUGAGUCAAUGAGGACUUACAGAUUCUCUCAUUUGGUUUUGUAACCCAAGCCGGUUCUCCAUCAGUGAUUAUGUUGGCUAACAAAGGACACUGUUUGUCCUUAUUCUUUACCUGAGCAUAAAAUGAUGGUGUAGUGGCCAGAGGCAUGAAGUCGGAGCCAUGCAAGAAUCUAUUGAUGGUCUAGUCAAAACAUCAACGCUUACACCCCUCACCCAAAUACUCACUAGAAAAGAUUGAUCUACUACUUUUUCACCUGGUUUGUACAUAUUCUCCAACUAGGCUAGGUAAUUCGCAUAGAACUCCCAAACCAAUGUGGGCCAAAAUAAACCUCCCUUUUCUAUAGUCCAUCCUAAGCCGUAUUCUUUGACUUUCUUCUCCACUUUAGGGUAUCUGCUCAACCCUUUCAUGAUGAUUAUUUUUUCUUCUUGGAUUGGCCUCUUCGCGUUCCUUCUAUCAGUUCUUUACAACCCAGCAAUAUAGAUUUCUUUAGCUCUAGGGAAUUGCCAUCUAGCAUUGUUCCUCACUUCUGGCUUCUUACAUUUGAUAAGAGUCCUCUGAGGUGGAGACUCUUCAUCAUCUUAUUACUUAGUGGAUGGGGACCCGAAAGCUAUUCCUUCAAACUCAGAUUCUUCUUGAUCCUCCUCAUCAACUUUAGUAUGUUCAGACUCAUGUUGUUUAGACUCAACUUUUUCACACCCCUCUUGCUCAGAAGCUAUGUUUGACUUAGUAUCAUCACUUCCCUCUACCUCAAUUGGUGGAGGUGGUAGAGUUUUCUUUGGACUCUGCUUCUUCUUUAGCUUUCUGAGCAAGGGUUCCUCCUCGUCGUAGUCAGAUUCCUCGUUGAGGAUCUUAUGAUGUUUAUUAUCUUUAGCUACUUUCUUUGGUUCUAUGGAACUCUUUCUUUUUUUUUGCCAUUUAGACUACCUAGAGACAUUAGAAGAAUGAUAAUCAACCCUAAAGAUCACAAACACGAGUACAUUAAUAAUUUAAGCUCAUUUAUAUUUCAGGCCCUAGGUGUGACGACAAUUCAUGACAAGCCAUUACGACCGUGAUAGCUUAUCACGGUUGUCGUCAACCUUAGACAGAACCCAAAAGAAUUUUACACUUUCCGAUGACCUUCAUGAUAGACUGUCAUAAUUGUGAUAGCCCAUCACGACUGUCGUCGGCUCUAUCCACAACAAACUUUAGUUUUGUCAGCUUUUAACGAUAUUCUUGAUAAGUCAUCACAAUGGUGAUAGCCUAUCAUGGAUGUUGUCACACUUAUCAGAACCCACUUUUGACUUUGAUUAAAUUUUUGGUCCCCAUUCUUGCUCAAGAUUUACUUGAAUUUGAAUCAUAAGCUAUCUUUUCAACCCUUGGGCUUGUACAGCAUACCCUAGGUGCAAUUUUAGAAAUUUUCCAAGUUUGAACUUGGUUCAAUCACAUUGGGGACUUGAGUUAGCUUUCAUUCAGCAUAUAUCACAAGAAAAGAAGUGUUGAAGUAAAGUAUACCUAAUGGAGCUUUUAAUCUAGUGCCACACACAAGAAAAAGUAUGAAGGAAGUAGAUGUUCUUGAUUCUUAAGUGCAAACCACAUACUAAUUAACCUUUUUUUGCUUAGAGUUUUUUUCCGAGAAUGGAAACUAUUUUAACUAAGGAAAAAAAACACUAAAGAAUAAAAAGUUAAAAGUGGUGGAAAUUCGAAAAGGCUCGCGAUUUGGGCAUGGUCGGAUCUAAUUAAAAUUAGCCCCUGUUUUCAUAUUUUAGGCUUUGUUCUGACGAUGAUUUCUGACGGCUUGUUACGAUUGUGAUAGCCCGUCAAGAUCAUCAUCAAUAGUAGGCAGAGAAUUUCUCAAGUCUGAUCUAGCUGAUGGCAUUCGUGAUUGCUUAUCACAGUUGUGACAGCUUGUCACGGAUGUUGUCAUAACCUUCCAGCUGACCCUUUUCAUUUUUUCACUUUCUCUAUACUAAAUCCUAAUUUAAAAAAUAAAAACAGUUGUUCAAACAUAAAAAUUUUUGGUUGCCUCCCAUUAGCGUCUGGGUUAUUGUUACGGAACGACUGGGUUCUUUUGACUACUCAGAAUUUGCCAAGACAACCUCUUGAUACCCCUUUUUCAUCCUCAUAGAAGACAUCAACAAUUGAGAAGACAUUCAUAUCAUUUUUUUGUGACAUAGGUUGAUGCAUUUUGAAUUUUGCCUCCUUUUUACCGAGCCUAAAGUUAAUCUCAUUCAACUCCAUGUCAACUAUUACUCUUUCUAUUUCUAAGAGUGGCCUUCCUAAGAUAAUGGGUACCUCAAAGUCCAUAUCACAAUUCAAUACCACAAAAUUAGCAGAAAGAAUAAAGUCUUCUACUUUUACCAGCACAUCGUGCAAAAUUCCAACAGGCCACUUUAUUGACCUAUCUGUCAUCACCAGUCGCAUGUUAGUAGGUGCUGGAUCUUCUAAACCCAGCUUCUUACAUACAGCAAGUGGUAUCAGAUUCAAGCUGGCACCCAAAUCACAUAAUGCCUUUGCAACAUCCAGAGACCCAACCUUACAUGGAAUAGUGAAUGCACCUGGGUCGGCCAUUUUUUGCACUAAGAAUCGUGUGGAAAUUGCGCUACAAUGGUGGAGAUUGUCCACCUGCUCAGUGCUGACCUUCCUCUUCUUUACGAUGAGGUCUUUCAUGAACUUGGCAUAGCUUUGCAUUUGCUCAAGUUCCUCAACCAAAGGUACAUUAAUUGUCAAUUGCUUGAGCAUAGCCAUGAACUUGCCAAAUUUUGCCUCAUCAACCUUUUUCUACAAUCAUUGAGGAAAGGGAGGUGGAGGCCUAGGGAUAGUCUUUAACUCCACUUCCUCCUCCUUCUUAUCUUUUUUCUCCAAAAUAUCAACAAAACCAUCUAGCUUUUCACACUCCACUGGACUACUUUCUUUAGGUUCAUCAAUACUUACCUUGUUUUCCAGAGAUUUGCCCACAGAGGGGUCAUAUAACAACUUACCACUUCAAGUGAUAAUCGCCAUACAUGAACAACCAUUUUGUGGGUUUUGAACUGUAUCACUAGGUAAAGUACCAAUUUUUCUAUAGUUCAGUGUAGCAAAAAGUUAGUUCAUCUGUUGUUCCAACUGCUUAAUAGAAGUAAAGUGUGAGCUAACCAACUAACUGAGGGUAAAGAAUUCACUCUUUAAAGUAGUUACUCCCGAGUUGGUAGCUUUAACUCCCUUCAACAACUUUUCCAUCAUGUCCUUCAAAGACAUCUUACCAGAGCUAGUUGUUACAGCAUCCCUACUUCCAGGAGGAACAUACAAACCACUCCUGUCACUAUUAUUUCUCUAGUGUCCCUGCUCCCUAUAUUUAUAAUUAGGCUUGUCAUAGAAGUUUCGACCUUGGUUCCAUUGGCUAUUUCAUCGGAAACCCCGCUGAUUACUCACAUAGUUUGUCUCUAUAUCGGCACCUAUAGCAAUAGUACCUUGAGAUUCCACAGCCUUAACUAUUUCGGUCUUGUCUGACAGCAAGUGCUUGGUCAGAAAGUCUAUUUGUGUCAUUAAGUGGGCCAUGUCCUGGUCUCGCUCCUCAUCCUUUCUUCACUACUCUACAGUUACACCACAGGCAACAGUCGGGCUAGCUACUACAGAAUCUCUAUUCUGCCAUGCCUGACUCUGCUUAGUCAUUCUAUUCAGUAUAUCAGAAACAUCAAAGAAAAAGAUAUCAAUAAACAAACCACCUGCAGCAUUGUAUACAAUUGUCUUUGUCAUAGAGUUGAAAGCUCUGUACAAAGUUUACUUCAUGUGCAAGUCCGUCAUUUUUUGGUUUGGACAUUGUGCAAGCUUCUUCUUAAAUCUCUCCCAAGUUUCAUACAAUGCUUCAGUUGGGAGUUGUCUAAAGUUACUGAUUUCAUCCCUCAACUGUACCCUUCUUAAGGGUGGAAAGAACCAUUCUAGGAACACCUCUUUCAACUGUCUUUAGUUGGUUAUAGAAUUAGGGUCUAGCUCAUUUAACCACAUUGUUGCCUCUCCAGACAGAGACAAAGGGAACAAUCUCAACCAAAUCGCAUUCUGGCUCACUCUUGGAUUGUCAAAAGAUUUGCAAACAGUGAUGAAGUUCACCAAAUGCAUUUUCAGGUCAUCACCAGGUAAGCCUCCAAAUAACCCUUUCAGAUUCAGGAGUUGGAUCAUGGUGCUUGUUAUGCUGAAUUUUGCAACUGGUACCAAUGGUAGAGGAGUGUUAGUACCCAUUGCACCAGCUCCAUCCAUUCCUUCAUCAUCUUCAUUAGGCUUGUAUUAAAUAGGUUGUUGGUCAUACCUUCCUCAAAUUGGACGGUUUCUAUUGAUAUUUUGCUGCACUGGUGCAGAAAGUUGCUCAGCUUGCCUUGGGUUUUGAGGAUUUAGCAAUUCCUCAUCACCCAAGUCUUCUUUAUCAGGGUUCUGGUGAUGUGCUUGUUGACCCAAAAUCUAUACGUUAACUUGAUCCCUGGCCAAAGCAGCUAGUCUAUCCGCCUCCUGUUGUUCAGCCAUUUUCCCUAUCAGUUGAGAUUUUAGAUUGAUUAAAAAUAACGUUUCUCUGAAACUUCUUAUUUUUGGCAUAAAAACACAGUACCUACAAUAGACAAAAACAACAAAUAAAUAUAAAUCCAGAAAACUUAACUAAUAGCAAAUUAGCAUACACAAACUUUAAGUUUACAACAGUAUUCACCAGCAGUGGCGCCAUUUUUGAUAAUGCUCAAACUACACUCUUGAACGGGUGUAAGAAAUCGCUCUCAAUAUAAAACCCAACUAGUUUGGGGUCAAAUCCCACAAGGAAUAAGGUGUGAACUCAAGUUGUUUACGAAAUAAUUCACUUGUAGUUUACUGUUUCCUGAAAUGUGGGUUUAAAUUUCUUAUACUAUUAUUAGUCACUUUGAGAUUAAUGUUUGUAAUCAAUAUUUUUUGAGAUAACGGGGAUUAUGUUCACUAAGGUUUAUGGUAUAUGUCAGAUGCUACAAUAACUCAAGGUUCUCAAGAUGGUUAGGAUGACAAGCUAUCUCUAUCGAUAGUAUCAUUGAAUGUCUCUCCACCUAUUCAAGCGUCUACUUUCCUAAUUCUGUCGGAGUUAGGGAAUCAUAACUCACUACCCAGAUUUUACCUCAGGUUAAUAAACCUUGUUACAGUGCAGAUUAUUAAACGAAGCCUUUUCGAGUCCCUAUCGAUAAUUCACUUCCCACUGUUUAUGAUUUCUUUCUCAAGCAAAUCAAAGUAGGUAUGCCUAUUGUUUUCAACCAAUAGACAUAAGUUAGAAUAUCAGAAUUACCAAGAAAUCCUAACACCUAUUAAACCUUGAGUAGUUCAUCAACACCUUAUCAUGACCUAACCCUACAUUCCAUAACCCAGGUUAAGAGUGUUUAGCUACUCAUUAAGUAGAAAAUAAGCACACAAGUUGAAUUCAUAAUUUAAAGUAUUAACUUACAAUAAUGACAGAAAUCAAAAGUGUUCUUUCAAUUGAAUCACAAGGCAAACCACCAAAAUAUUUGUCUGAGAGAGAGAGAGAGAGAUGAAAAAGUCAUUUGUGGUAUGAUAUGUUAAUUAAUUGAUGGAUAAUAGAAAAAACCUAAAACAAGGAUUUAAAUAGUUAACCUUAAAUAAGAAAAUAAAAUUAAAGUUUUAGAUAUUCUUUAGAAUAGAUGACGGCGAUUGUGACGGCCUAUCAUUAUUUUGACGGCCUAUCACAGACGUCAUCAGCUUCUCUGUAAAUUUAGCUUCUGCUGCCUAAGGUUGAUGACGAUAGUGAUGUCUAUCAGGAUCUUGACGAUGUUUCAUGAAGGUCUUCACAAAACUUCUUGCAAAUUCUCUCUUCUGUUUAAUUUUGAUGGUAUCCUUGACAGCCUAUCACCAGGCUAACGUUGUGUCAUGGAUGUCGUUAGCCACACUUAGCUCUUCAUUUGCUUCCAAUUUCAUACUUUUUGCUUCCUUUCUUUGUCGUUCUCUUUUGUCUCUAAUUUUACUAUAAAACCAAAGUAAACUAAUCAAAAACGACUAAAGUUCCUCAAGACUUUGCAAUUAUUUAGAGUUAAAAGCUUCAAAUAUGUUAGCAUGGGCUCACACAUCAAUAGCUAACUGUGAAGGUGUGAUUCCAAUAAAUGGACAUGAGAAAAUCAUAUUUGUCAACAUAAAAAUUGGUCAUGGAGAUCAUAUAUGAUACUUAUGGGUUACAUAGGAAUCCUCUAAGUUACACUUGUAUAUAUAUCAUGGAGAGCGAAGGGUACACCUGAAUCCUCUACUCCUAUGGUAUCUUUGGUUUUUGGAAAUUCACAUAUCAGGGCCUAUUUUAGGGGUAACACUAGACCCGUAUAUCGUAUGGGUGGUUCUAGGAUGAUUAAGCUAUAUAUAUCCAAGUUAAAAGAUUUUAAGGCAUGUCAUUCCCGAUUACCUUCCUAAUAUGGAUAUAUAUAUAUAUGUGUAUAUGUUUUGUUAUGAAUGAAUAUUGUUAUUUACUUUGUUUUAAAGGUUAGUAUUAUUUUAUUCUUAUCCUGAGUGCAUGUUAGCAUUCACUCACUAAACCGUCUUAGGGCAAUAUAUCCCUACAUGACGUAAGAACCAACCAUUUUACUCUACCUACUCAGUGAUUUGAUUUGUGAUCUAUUAUUUGAUUAAUGCUGUGAUAUUACAUAUCCUAAAGUCUCCAUUUCAUAUUAUGAAUUUCUUUAUAUACUCUGGUUUUUUGAUAACAUUAGGUUUGACUAUGGUUUGGGGUAUGCUCAAACUGAAUAUUAUUUUACUUUCUAUUAGAGUCUUUGUUGAACUACUAUGGGUUGGUAUAGGUAGUGUCGGUAUUGGUAUAAGUCUUAGUAUUUACAUUGGUAUUGUGGAUGACACCAUCCGACUGUAUUUAUAAUUAUUCUAUCCAAUUAUGUUAUGAAUUCGUACAUGAUUAUUAUUUUUAUUUUGGUAUAGUUAUUAGUUGGGUAUUGGAUGGUUGGACUUAAUUGGGUUAGUCAUGGAUAUGGACCUAUAGUAGAGUCUAGAGAUGUACAUUAUGCUAUCAUUUUAUAUAUUCAAAAUUCAACUGACUUAGGCCAUGUGUUUUGAAGAUGGGUUGGGUAAUGGGGGAGGUCUCCAGUUUUUGUAUGACGGGAUACCCAUUACUACAAGGCUCUAGUUUGAUUCAUAUCAAGUUGGUAUAAGAUCUUUAGGUGCAUGGUAAAUUAGGAGUCCACAAAGCCAUAUCUAGAAGAAUCUCAUUUAAGGGUGUGUAGUGCAUCACACUUUUUAGGGAGAGGCUACAAGGAAUUUAGGAAAUAUUUAUUUUCUUUUUGUUUUAUUUUUUAGCUUGGAAUCCAAGCCCUGGAAUCUUCUAUAAUCCCUAUUUGUUCUCUUUUCAGUUCAUGCUUCAAUGAUCUAAUACACAUAGAAACUCUUUUGUCCUAACUGGUAUAAUGUUAAUGCGACACGCUGUGCUUAUGGGAUCCAUACAUAGUCUAGGGGACUGGUCCAUAAUUUCUUUCGAGUUUUAUUGGUUUCUUUUAGUCCUCCCCAGGCUGAUAUGGCCAAUGCUUAGUUUCAUCAAUCGAUUCAUAUGAUUGCUUAAUUAGUAGCUUCCAUGCCUAAUGUGGUGCAUUUGUUACUCUAUAUUCUGAGGCCACAAGGGUCAGCUAGUUUAUGAGGUUGAGCUCUCCAACUUUUAUUGGUAUUAAGAUAGAGAAGCAUCCUCUGGGUUUUUUGGAUGAGAUGGAAAAGAUUUUAAGGAUUAUGCAUACCAAAAAUGUGGAAGGGGUGGAGUUUGUUAUCUACUAACUGAAAGAUAUGGCAUACCAAUGGAAUGAGAAAUGGGAAGUGCAAGGGGUGAUGUUUAGCCGUAAUCUUUAUCGGAGACUUUAUCAAAUGCAUUUUUGCACUACUUCUUUACUCAAGAGUUAAGGGAAGCAAAGGCGGAGGAAUUUGAUAAUCUAAAAUAGGGGAAGAUAUCAUUCAAGGAGUAUGCCUUUAAACUUUUACCAGUUGUCUAGGUAUGAAUAUGAAUUGGUGUCUGAUUUGAGAGCUAAAAUGAGAAAGUUUUCUUCAAGAAUAUCUUGUGAGUUGAUCCUUAAACUCAAGACAGUAUUGCUUAUUAAGGACAUGGGUAUUUCUAGGUUGGUUGUUCAUAUGCAACAAGUGGAGGAGGAAAAAAGAAAUAGGGUUAAGUUAGGGGAAAGGUAGGGUAAGAAGUUUAGGUUCUCUGAGUAGGGUGGAUAAUUAAAAAAUAACAGAAAUGGGGGUAAGUGUCCAAAGAAGAAGUUGGGGAGUUUUGUUUUUUUCUACAAAGCUAGUGCUUCCUACCCAAUACCGACGGGUGAUAGGAGGUAGUAUUGUAUCGAUAACAUUAGGGCACAGGGUGCCCAAUCUAAUGCUAGUGGGGGUUAGUCGGCUAAAUCAUUUCCUCAUUAUUGGUAUUGUAGUCAACUACAUCAGGGUUUUUAGGAUAAGAGGAAGGCCAGGUGUUCUAAAUUUGGCCUGCCAGGCCAUAUUCUUAGAAACUAUUUGUUCGCAAGGUUUCUUUAGGGGCGAACAAGGUUAUGGUUACCUCUUUAUCUAAUCCUUCACCCAGGGGUGCUACAUCUAUAUCUGUUUUUGCUUCUGUUACCAGCAGAGGCCCAAAUUGAUUAUACGCACUCACUACCUGAUGAGAGUCUGAGGCAUCACCUGAUGCUUGGACCAGUACAUUGAAACUCUUUUCUCAGGAUUUAUAUUAUUUAUUUGUUCAGAGUUUUUAUCUUUAUUAUGUGAACCCAUUAGUGGCUGUGUAUUUUGGUUACUGUCCUGAGGUUAUUUCAAAACUUUUUUAUGUUUCUACCAUGGUAGGUGACUCUAUGGUUAUUAAAAGAGUCUAUUGGGCGUAUAUGGUAUUAGUUGGUAGUAAGGAGGGUUUAGUGGAUUUGUAUGAAUUAGAUAUGGUGGAUAUUAAUAUUAUUAUGGGUAUGGAUUGGUUACACUUUUCCAAUAUAUCCCCAGACUGUCAGACAUAUAAGGUUGUCUUUAGGUCUUUUGGUGAGCUAGUUAUUAAAUAGGAGGGGGGUUCCAUAGCCCCUAAGGUGAAGUUUAUAUCAUAUCUUAGAGCUUUUAGAUUAAUCUAUAAAGGUUGUCUCUAUUCUUUAGUUUGUGUUAAUGAUUCUUACUCAUAAGGUCCUUCUUUACAUUCAGUUCUUGUGGUAAAUGAGUUUCCUGGGGUCUUUUCUGAGGACCUUCCUAGUGUUUCUCUAGAUUGGGAGAUCAAAUUUGGGAUUCAUUUGGUUUUGGACACUCAUCAAAUAUCUAUUCCUCCUAAUAGAAUAGAUUCAACUGAGUUGUGGGAACUAAAGGAGCAACUUAAGGAUCUCUUGGAUGAGGGUUUUAUCUAUCCUAAUGUGUCUCCAUGGGGUGCACAGAUGUUAAUCAUACUUAAGAAGGAUGGUUCCCUCCAAAUAUGUAUAGGCUAUCAUCAUUUGAAUAAGGUGACGAUUAAGAACAAAUAUCCUCUUCAAAAUAUAGAUAACUUGUUUGAUUGCUUGCAAGGUGCCAAAUUCUUUUCAAAGAUAGACAUUUUGUCAAGUAUCAAAAGCUUAAGAUUGGGUAGAGGGAUAUCCCUAAGACAUUUUUCCGUACUCGCUAUGGGAACUUUUAGUUCUUGGUUAUGUCAUUGGAUUUGUCCAAUGCCCCGAUGACAUUUAUAGAUUUGAUAAGAAGGGUCUUUCGUCAGUUUUUGAAUCUUUUUGUCAUUAUUUUUAUUGAUUACAUUCUACUGUACUAUAUGAAUGGGGUGGAUAAUGCCAAUCACCUUUCUUUUGUAUUGUAGACCAUGAAACAGGAGUAGUUGUAUGCAAAAUUCUUGAAAUGUGAGUUCUAGUUAAACGUUUUCACUUCUCUAGGUCAUAUUAUUUAAAGAACAAGGAUCAUUGUAGAUCCAUAAAAGGUCAUGGUUGUUAAGAAGUUUCCUAUGCCCACAACUCCAAUAAAUAUUUGGAGCUUCAUGGGUAUGGCAGGGUGUUGUAGGAGGUUUAUGCAAUGUUUCUCGAGGAUAGCUUCCCCAUUGACUAAGUUGAACAGAAGAAGGUAAAGUUCUCUUGUUCGAAUUUUGUGAGGGUAAUUUCAAGAAGCUGAAGGAUAAGCUAACUUCAACUCUAAUUUUUACCUUUCCUAAAGGUACUGAGAGGUUUAUGGUUUAUUGUGAUACAUCUCGGUAGGGGUUUAUUUGUUUUUUAUGCAGCAUGGGAAGGUGAUAGCCUAUGCUUCUAGGUAGUUGAAAUUACACGAGAAGAAAUAUCCUACUCAUGACUUGGAGAAGUUAGUCAUGGUGUUUGUAUUGAAAAUCUGGCAAAAUUAUCUAUAUGGAGUGCGCAUGGUAUCUUUUUGGAUCAUAAAAGCCUACAGUACGUGUUUACAUACAAAAAAUUGAAUAUCAGGCGAAAGAGUUUGAUUGAGCUUCUCAAGGACUAUUACAUAAGGCUUCACUACCAUCAAUGUAAGGUUAAUAUUGUUUUAGGUUCUCUUAGUAAAUUAUCCAUGGGGAGGUUAGCUCAUGAGGAUAAAAAGAGGCUGAAGUUGGUGAAAGAUAUUCACCACAUGGCUAAUCAUUGAGUUUUCCAUUUGUACUUUGAGAAUGGUGGUGUGUUAGAUAGGAAUUGGUUCAUUUGUAUCUUGGUAUAGAUAUCAAGAAGAAGCAAGUGCUAGUCUUGUCUUGAUGAAAAUUAAGGGUGAUAAAGGUCUGCAAAAGGUAAUGGUAUUUGAGAUCAGUAGUGAUGGUACCUUGCGGUACCAAGGGAGGUUGUAUUUCCUAACGUCGAUAGUUUGUUAGAAAGGAUAUUAUCCGAGGUGCGUGAGUCGUGCUAUGUUGUUCAUCCUAAUUUUGUGAAAAUGCAUCAUGACCUGAAGUAGAUGCAUUGGUGGAAUGAUCUGAAAAUGGAUGUGGCUAAUUUUGUGGUCAAUUGUUUAGUGUGCUAAGUAUUUUGUUGCCCGACGGAUUAUGAUCAACAGGGAUAUUGUUAUCGGUACUCCUCGAUAUAAAAAUGUAGAUAAGAUGACAAAGUUAGGAAAUUAUUUUCGAGUGAGGACUAACUUUUCGAGAGAGAAUUGUGUGAGGUUGUAUCUUCAUGAGAUUAAGAAACUACAUGAGGUACCUAUUUCAAUCUUUUCUAAUCAUGGUAUGCAUUGUUUAUUUUGUUUUUUGUAGUUAUUUUAGGAAGGAUUGGGGACUAAGGUUAGCCUAAGUACUGUUUUUCACCCACAGAUAGAUAGGCAAGUAGAGAGAACUAUUCAGACAUUAGAAGAUAUGUCUCUUGCAUGUGUAAUUAACUAUGGUGGUUGUUAGGUUAGGCAUCUACCUAUUGUAGAGUUUUCUUACAAUAAUAGUUAUCAUUAUAGCAUUCGGAUAGCCUCUUUUGAUACGUUUUAUGGUAGGAGGUUUCUUUUUUCUAUUGUGUUGUUUCAGCUUGGUGAGGAAAAUAUGUUUGGCUGAGAUUUUAUUUUUUAGUCUAUGGAGAAGGUGAAGGUGAUUCGAGAUAUGCUUAAAACUUCCUAAAGUAUCCAAAUGUCCUAUACAGAUGUAAGAAGUAGGGACUUGGAUUUUGAGUUUGGGGAUAGGGUAUUCCAAAGGUGUCUCUCAUGAAGGGAGUAAAGCAGUUCGGGAAGAAAAGGAAGCUCAGUCCCCUAUAUGAUUGUCUUUAUAUAGUUUUGAGAAAGGUUGGUAAUAUGGAGUAUGAAAUUGAGUUUCCUUAUAGCUUGAGCUCCAUUACCCUAGUGUUCCAUGUCUCUAUAUUGAGAAAGUGUAUGGGAAAUCCUUCAUCGGUUGUUCCAUUGUAAGGAUUUUGUAUCUCGGAUUCUCUAUCCUAUGAAGAGAUCCCAGUGGAGAUCUUUGGACCAAUAUGUUCGUUGGUUGCGAACCAAGGAUAAAGCUUUGCUCCAGAUUCUUUGGCAAAUUUACAUAGUGGAUGAAGCUACUUGGGAAACGAAAGAGGAUUUGAAGUCAAAGUAUCCAUACUUUUUUUCAUCUCUAGAUAUUCUUGAUUAAGGUAUGUGUUCUUGAUAACAUCUUUGUUUUCUAACUUUGUUAAAGAAACGGUUGAUUUCCUUGUAUCUUUGUUUUCUAACUUAGUUAAAGGUCAAAAUAAUAGUGCUUAGGUAUAACUCAUGCUUGUACUAUCUUUUGCUUUAUUUGGUGAUGAAUGAUCCUAGUAUGGGAGACUAAAACAACCUGUGUUUUGACAUUAAGGAAAUUCAUCAAUUUUUGUCUUUUGUACAUUAUACGAUAUGGGGUACUUCUUGCGUAAUGAGGUUUGGGUAGGUUAGUCUUGGUCGUAUGGUAACUAGUGUGGGUUGGAUGGUAUCUGUCAAAGGUACAGUUCGAACAUACAAGUUGCGUAUUAGGGUACAAAUGGUAAGGUGUCAAUCGUAUUUUCCCUAAGUCUAGUCUAGAAGAUUCUAUUAAGCCUAGUGUACAAUUUCAUGGUAUUAAUCAUAUGGUUUGGUACUGUUUACCUUGGGUAGUCGUACAUUUGAUAGUGUUGGGUUCCAAGGUGAGGCCUAGGUUACGAGAUAAGGGUACCACCCAUACACUAUGGUACGGUUGGGGCAGUUCAUUCAUACCAUCCUACGUGAAUUUUAAAUAGUUUAAGUUAGGGGUAGUUUGGACAUUCCCCCCAUAACUUAUUAUGAUCCCAGGAUAUAAAAUACCUUUUUGGUUCUUCAUUAACCUAUUUGCAAUCAAUCAAACUCUCUUAAACACUCUUAAAUUCUCUCAAGGCUCUUGGGUCAAAGAUGGCUAGGGUUUUAUCAAUAGGAUUAAGUUGGGGUGACAAGGCUAAUUUUUCUCUAUAAUUUUUGAAAUCUAAGGCAUGUAAUACUCCCUCAUAGUUAAUUCAUACUAUAGGCAUGUUUUGUGAAUUGUUUUGAUGGCAUAAAUGUUGUAUGAUUUUGGUUUUCAAAUAUAUCAGGGGUUUUGUUAUAAUGGUUGGUUAUUGUUUUUCCAUGUCUUUUACUUUUGAUUUCCAUGUUAUUUUAGUGAUUUGUGCAUUUGGUUUCACGAGAAUGGUUAAUCGGUACUUUGUUUUGGCUAUGGAAUUACUAUGUAACCCACUUGUUUGAUAAAAUACCUAUAAGAAUGUUUUUGGUUAAAUUGUUAGACAUUCAUUAAACUAUGCAUUGUAUAACUUAUAGGGUUUUAAUAGUCUGGUCUUUAAGGGCUCCAAGUUGGUUUCUUCUCAAAAUUUCUUAGGGAUUAAGGCUUGUAUCUCUCUCCCAAAACAUGUUUUUUAAAUUAUGGCAUAAAUUUCUUUUAUAUUCCUGUGAUUUUGGAUGUGGUUUUUGAAUGAUGGGUUGAGGGUUAGGAAAAAUCAUUGUAAAUGUUUUCCCAUGUAUUUUAAAGAAUAAUAAUGCUUUGAAUUGAUGAUUUUUAAACCCAUUAUGGUCAUGGGUAUGGUAAUGGAAUGGGUAUUGUCGAUACCCCCAAAUAAUUGGUUUUUGUUAGUAAAAAUGAUGAGAACAUCAACGCACUUGCAUGAUUGGUUUUGGAAUAAAAAUUAUCAUUUGGCUUUCCCUAGUAGUUUUAACUAAUCUGUUGCAUAUGUGUUUAAGAUGGAUUUUGAAUGUUCUUGGCAAUCAUGAAAUGGUUUUGAAUUAAAACUUUGGAGUCUUAUUGUCUAAUGGGUUGGUGUCCCAUUUGGCUGUAUGAUUUUGUUCCUAAUUGGGAUUUAGGAUUUCUAUUAAUUGAAGAGGGUUAGAAUACUACUUGGAUAAAUGAUUUGAUCCCUACUAGGGAAUUUGGAGUCCUAUUAUUUAAUGACUUAGAUUCCCCUUGGUAAAUUUUUGGAUUUUUCAAAUUGACAUGUGCUUGCAAGUUAUAGUCGAUAUGAUGAUACCACUUGAUGUUGCUGUAACAAAUGACUCCUUGAUUAAAUGCAUGGAUUAUAAGCUAAAUGCUUAUAAUUGGUCUUAAAGGGGGUUGUGUAGUUCGUCGUGAAAGUGGAGGUACCAAGAGGAUUAAUACUGGAAAACAUAUAUUUAUUAUGGUGGUGGUCUAAAUUAAUCGGUGUUCGAGCCACCCUUGGUUUUCAUCGGGUGUUCAUGACACCCUUAAUGUAUUAAUGGGGAGGUUUGAGUCACUUGUUCAUAUAUUGUAUGAUUAUUCUCCAGUUCGUAUGACUACACGUACUGGGGCUCAACUAGGGGGUUAGAGUUAGGGCCCAUAUAGACCGUGGGUACAAUUCUAAUAGAUUGCUACACAACCCAGGGUAAUGUUUUAAAGUUCAUUCUAAGAUAUGUUCCCUAUCCCAACAUGUUAUAUAUAUAUGUGCAUACGACUGUGUCCAGCGGUAUUGAAUUAUUUGAACGAUCGAUCAUGGCAGUAUGUAUCCCCUUAUCUUUGAGUUACAUUCAAGUUCUCAACCCGCUAACUAUCUUUGAACGUUUUAUCCCCACACAAUGCAUGGAACGGAGAUACUUCAAAUUUUCUGUACAACUACAGGUGGUUCUUGGAUUGUUAUGAGUUAUCUUGAAGUGAUGAACCUUAUUCUUCUUGAUGGCAUGUUACAUCAUGGUAAAGUUUUUGUCAUAGUCUAUUUCUUUGGUUACCCUUUUGGCUAUCAUCGAGGGCAUGUCCCGACUUAGAAUGAUUUUGGUUUGUUUAGAGGAUUUGUGGAUUAGUAUGGAUUGGGAGUUGGUAUUAUGGAUUUUUAGCACAUUCCGAUUGUUGCUUAUUCUAUCUUGUUUUAUGUUUGGAAUUCUUCUGCUGCUAGUUAUAUUAUAUUUUGUUUGACUAGGGAAAGAGGGUGGGCUCCAUUCCACGGCAUACUUGAUAUACCCGUCAUGGCCAGGCCCUUGUUCGGUCAUGACAUGACUGAGCUCCUAAGAUAAUGCUAAUAUAAGUAGCAUGCAAGAAAGAAUGUAACUACACCCAAAUAUCUAGCAACUACACAAUAAAGAUAAGGAGACUAUAAGGGAAAACUAUCUUAUUCUAUCUAUACUUAGUAACUUAAACACCAUACCAAUAUCACUGAACAAUAUAUGAAUAAAGAGUGGAAGAAUGAUAGAUAAUAGUAUAAAAGGCCAAGGAAUGGAUAUGCAAUAUGAAUAAGUGAAAUAAGGGAGGGAUAUAUAGUAAUACCGUAAGUAUUAUAGACAGAUACAUAUACAUAAACAAGUCUAACUGAAGGUACAACUUAAGUUAUCGCACUAGCAUCCCAAGGUCUUCUAAUCUUAGUAGAAACUAGUGAUAACAUGAUCAGGGUAUCGAAUCCAUAUGUCUAAACAUGAGAUAAUUAUCCAUCCUAAAGAAAACAUAAAAAAAGGGAUUGAAAUCAUACCUUAUAUAUCAAAAUUAACCGAACAACCAACCUGUCCUGAACUAACUAUAAUAAUAACACAUUACAGAAACCAGUCAGCUAAGACAAAUAAUACCUACUUCGGUCUUUAAAGUUCAAUUUUCCUUUUAGCCUCAAACUUAUAAAUUAGGCUAAGUCAUGAUGGUCUACUCAAUAUCACAUCCUAACAUCCCUAUCUAAUACGAAACUUAUAUAAUAUACCAUCACAUGAAGAAGAGUAGAUAGAAGCUUACAUCGAUGUCGAACCUCAAUCCUUGAAUUACCUAUAAAUUGUCCUUCUUUUCUCCAUGACCUCAAAAUAUCAUCACACUCUCAAUACAGUUAUCUACGCAUCAUUAGGAGAAAAUAAUACCUGUAUAUCUAUGUCCAACACAAAUCUAAAAACAAACACUAAAAAUGGAUUUAAAAAUAAAAAGGUUAAAAUCUUUUUUAUUUUAAAGAAAUAUGUUUCCCAUACUCAUAGGAGUCUAUAACUUAAAACCUAAGCCAAAAUGAAAUAAAAAUAAGAUCCAAAUUAAGGAAAAACCAUUUUCUAUCUUAUUGAUGAAAACCUCCAAAACCCACUUUGAAAAUCAAAUCAAGGUAAAAAUGAUAGUUAUAAGAUUAAGAAACUUCCUCAUGGAUGAAAUCUCAAAUAUGCUUUUGUAAUCCCACAAAUACGAGCUCCCAAGACCCAAAAUUAGUGAAAAAUCAAUUUUGAUUCUCAAUUUGGGUGAAAAUGAAAAAUUAUAAAUUGAUGUUCUUGGGAAAUGGGGAAAAUAGAAUUCUAUAAUUGCUAGACAAUGAUUUUACGUGAAAAAUAAAUCAUAAAUCGUAAAAAAUUGAGCUUCCUAGCUCCCAAAAUGUCAAAAAUAUGCUGGUCACUUAAGCGAUCUGGUCAAAUGGUCAAAUGUCACUUAAUUGGCCAAAUGGUUGGUCAAGUGACUUAUUCAAAUGGGCAAAUGGUUGUUUUCGCAAACAAACCGGCACCAACAAAGUUAAGAACUUGUUUUUGGCCAUCGGACCUCAUCCAAAAACCUAUGAACAUGAAACAGUAGCAAAAUUUGAAUUUAAAACACAUUAUAGAUACAACGGAAGAAUCAAAACAUUAAUCGAAAAUAGUUUUUACUAAAUUUGUGACCCAUAUCUAUAGUGCCAUUUUUCAUAUAAUUCACUCAAUUCCCUAAAACGAGUCUGAAAGCCUCAGGACCUGAACCGAGGGUCCCCAGCCUAAAAUUUAUUUUUUGAAGCUAAUGUCAUUGUUUGUAUUCUCUUCCAAGGUCAUAUACUACGUGUUUUGGUCCGACAUCAAAUCUGAAAUACUGAAAGCUACAAAAUAGAGAAAUGAGACUAAAAUAAAAACAAACUGUACUAUAACUAAAUCGAUAGUUCCGGCAAGUAAUAAUGAAAUGUAGCCACCGUGGGAUGUCUAGAAACGCUGAAAAUACACACAAAUUGAGGAAAUUACCAAGAGAGUCAUUAAAAUAAUCCUUACAAAGGAUUCUUUCACCCUUUAACAAUGAUAGGUAGUCUAUCUGCAUUUUAGCCAACUUGCUACGGAAGAUAACCAAUUUGUUUUCCUUCUUUGAAAUCACAAAUUAGCUAUCACCAUCUCAAAGGCUUUAGAAUGGUCCAGGAGAAAGGUUUCAUCACUAUUUCUAUCAACUAAAAUAAUAACUCCAUGAACCCCAUCAAAUACUCUAAAAUUUUCUCCAAUUUGGCAAUUUGAAUCCUUACUAAAGAAAAUCUUCUCGGUGUUUGGUAUUUCUCGCACCACCUCAUUCAAACUUUCCCAACAUAUCUUCUGGACCUCCUUGUCCAAGAAUAGUUGUGAAGCAUAUAAACUAAUAAUAUUAAAAGUAUCUCCUCAAUUAACUUUCUUAAUCUUCAUCAUCCAGUGAUUAAUCCUUUGAACCUCCAACCAAAGCUCCCUAAGGACUUUCUACCCCGUUCCUAUUCUUUGAACUUCCUGAGCACCAUAAAUUAAACCCAUAUACAUCUCAAGGCUUGGAACUUAACAAUUCGGUCUUGUGGACACACAAUAAAUUUAUCUUCUACUUUUUAAAAAUAUUUACUUCAAGACCCUAUAUUCUAUGACCCGACUCACAACUUAAUGAAAUCUUUAAUCUUCCUCUCACUCCCACCCAUCGCUCUCGACCUUGACCUAAAAAUGACCUUAGACUAUCAUUUUGAACCAAAAAAUUCAGUUCAAAGCUACAAAAAUACUAAUGCAAGUCAAACUAGGCUAUGACUAAAAACAAGAAAUAACCCUAACAUUAAAGUACAAAACCCGAAAAGCAAAAAGCUAGAAACAAGAAUUUAAUCACUAGUAGCAAAGAAUAUUCAAGAACCAAGUAUGACUAAAGAAAGUAAUAGUAACACGAACAACAAACAAAGCCAAAAAGAAUAUAGAUGUAAAAUAUCAGCACAGGUAAAUCAAUAACGAGAAGUACAACGCCACCAUGGUAGAUUUCAUGAUUUUAAGAUGGAAAAAAGAUAGAUUAAAGCAUGAAAUAUGAAUGAAAAGUGAUAUACAAUAAAAAAUAUGGACAUGAAAGGCAUUGGAAAAUAUAAACGAAACUCAAGAAAGAAAGGAUUAACAAAACAUGGUUAGAAAACUGUAGUAGAUGUCGAAAUUGGCCAUUGGGGUUAUCCCUGAAGGCUGCUAGAAUGUCUGGAUCUAGAAGUACUGUACGUAGUAAAUCUUAAAGCAAAAGACCUACUUCUUGGUCACUGUAGAAGAAAGGCAUCGGCAUCACAUAAAUUUGCAGCUCGAAGAUGGUAAAGGCGCUAUAUCGUGGGCAAGAAUUGGAUGGGCGGAGGCAAAAAUGGAAACGAAAAAAUAUAGGCGACGUAGAUCUGGGUUGUAAUUACCUGUUGCUGAAAAUAUCUCACCAACGCCGAAGAGCAUAACCCGACGACUUUUGUGAUGAAUAAACUUAGAGAGAAAUUUC